UACGUAGGGUGCAAGCGUUGUCCGGAAUUAUUGGGCGUAAAGAGCGUGUAGGCGGCCCGAUUAGUCCGCUGUGAAAGUCCAGGGCUCAACCCUGGAAUGCCGGUGGAUACUGUCGGGCUAGAGUCCGGAAGGGGCGAGUGGAAUUCCUGGUGUAGCGGUGAAAUGCGCAGAUAUCAGGAGGAACACCAAUGGCGAAGGCAGCUCGCUGGGACGUGACUGACGCUGAGACACGAAGGUCAGGAGAGCAAACGGG
rnacentral:rRNA from 1 species